rnacentral:rRNA from 1 species
AUACGGAGGGCGCAAGCGUUGUUCGGAAUUACUGGGCGUAAAGCGCGCGUAGGCGGUUCGAUAAGUCUGAUGUGAAAGCCCUGGGCUUAACCUGGGAAUGGCAUUGGAUACUGUUGAACUAGAGUGCGGGAGAGGAGAGUGGAAUUCUCGGUGUAGCGGUGAAAUGCGUAGAUAUCGGGAGGAACACCAGUGGCGAAGGCGGCUCUCUGGACUGACACUGACGCUGAGGUGCGAAAGCGCGGGUAGCAAACAGGAUUAGAAACCCGAGUAGUCC